UCCACAACCCCGAGUUCAAGCUCAAACACACAGGCUCUCUCUCUCUAUCUCUCUCUCUUUUCCAAAACCCUCGAUUUGAAGCUCAAACAUAGACUCUCUCUCUCACUCGCUCGAUUGCAGAUUUUGUGUUGUAUGUUCUUCAUUAAUGUUGAUCGAAGCUCAAACAACCCUCGAUUUGAAGCUCAAACACACAGAACUCAACCGCAGCAGUUUGCUCUAAUUGUUCUUCAUCAAUCGCAAUGAUCUCUGUUCUUCAUCAAUCUCGAGGCUAAUCGAGUGAGGACGCGGCACCAGAUGGUCCAGACUCCGAUCUCUUCGUUUACUACUGCAAGCACUACGGAUCUCAUGUCCUCAUUACUGGUCAUCCAACGUGAGCCACGGGAACACAUCAAAGAUGAGGACAUAAAGAAAAACUACUGCAUCCUUUUGUGGGGAGAUAUGGCAAGUUCCUCCAAUGUUUUCUGCCAUCAAAUUGUGCUCAUUUAAUAGCUUUGAGAAGAGAUUCAAUUGGUUCACAUAUCAAAGAAAGAAAAGAAGAAGUAGAUAUGACAAACUCAAUGAAAGAAGGCCGUUGGAGUCUACUGAAUUCGAGUUUUCAGGUUUGUGCUUUCCUUGGCUUUGUUGAGAGCUUUAAUCAGUUCGUUUAAGCAAGUCUCUUUUGGACCAGUCUUUGGUAUCAAGUUCUCUGCAACAUCACAAGGACUCAUAUCGGUUUCCUGCAAUAAACUGUCUCUAUUUUGUAGAUAAUUACAGUUGUAGUUUGUCAUUCAAGAAAGGCUUUUUAAUAUCUUUAUUAUGUGAUAUACUUUGGAAGAUCAAUGUAAUAUAUUUUGUGUAGUAAAAAUCUCAUGAAAUGUGCAAUUAGUUAAAUUAUUUUGUU